rnacentral:rRNA from 1 species
UACGAAGGGGGGCUAGCGUUGCUCGGAAUUACUGGGCGUAAAGCGCACGUAGGCGGAUCUUUAAGUCAGGGGUGAAAUCCUGGAGCUCAACUCCAGAACUGCCUUUGAUACUGAGGACCUUGAGUUCGGGAGAGGUGAGUGGAACUGCGAGUGUAGAGGUGAAAUUCGUAGAUAUUCGCAAGAACACCAGUGGCGAAGGCGGCUCACUGGCCCGAUACUGACGCUGAGGCACGAAAGCGUGGGGAGCAAACGGG